CCUACGGGAGGCAGCAGUGAGGAAUAUUGGUCAAUGGACGAGAGUCUGAACCAGCCAAGUAGCGUGAAGGAUGACUGCCCUAUGGGUUGUAAACUUCUUUUAUAUGGGAAUAAACUGUUCCACGUGUGGGAUUUUGUAUGUACCAUAUGAAUAAGGACCGGCUAACUCCGUGCCAGCAGCCGCGGUAAUACGGAGGAUCCGUGCGUUAUCCGGAUUUCUUGGGUUUAAAGGGAGCGUAGGUGGAUUGUUCAGUCAGUUGUGAAAGCUUGCGGCUCAACCGUGAAAUUGCAGUUGAAACUGGAAGUCUUGAGUACAGUAGAGGUAGGCGGAAUUCGUGGUGUAGCGGUGAAAUGCUUAGAUAUCACGAAGAACUCCGAUGGCGAAGGCAGCUCACUGGACUGCAACUGACACUGAGGCUCGAAAGUGUGGGUAUCAAACAGGAUUAGAUACCCGUGUAGUC
rnacentral:rRNA from 1 species